rnacentral:rRNA from 1 species
CUACGGAGGGUGCGAGCGUUAAUCGGAAUUACUGGGCGUAAAGCGCGCGUAGGCGGUUUGUUAAGUCGGAUGUGAAAUCCCCGGGCUCAACCUGGGACCUGCAUCCGAUACUGGCAGGCUAGAGUCUGGUAGAGGGGGGUAGAAUUCCUGGUGUAGCGGUGAAAUGCGUAGAUAUCAGGAGGAAUACCAGUGGCGAAGGCGGCCCCCUGGACUGAGACUGACGCUGAGGUGCGAAAGCGUGGGGAGCAAACAGGAUUAGAUACCCUAGUAGUCC